UUUGGCUGAAGCCAAAAUUAGGCUUACCACUGUUAAUGGUAGAAUUGAAACUUUUUUCCAGCCAA
rnacentral:tRNA from 1 species